GGAAUGUUUUGAAAUUUGUGCUUAUCCACCGUUUAAGCUAAUUCGCCUUUGAAACAACCGGCUCCUGGUUAUCCUAACCCAUUGAGUGGCGAUGCACCCUGAUGCACCCUACUUUAGUAUUUUACUCUGCCUAACGCCAGACAAUUUUACUCAUCAAGGGGAGAGCGCUGGCACUUAAUGGGUUAACCCGCCUAUCUGCCCAUAUGUCUAGUUAACCUAUUCAGUGGCGAUGCUCCCUGAUGCACCCUACUUUAGUAUUUUACUCUGCCUAACGCCAGACAAUUUUACUCGUCAAGGGGAGAGCGCUGGCACUUAAUGGGUUAACCCGCUUAUCUGCCCAUAUGUCUAAUUAACCUAUUCAGUGGCGAUGCUCCCUGAUGCACCCUACAUUAGCAUUUUACUCUGUCUAACGCCAGACGAUUUUACUCGUCAAGGGGAGAGCGCUGGCGCUUAAUGGGUUAACCCGCCUAUCUGCCCAUAUGUCUAGUUAACCUAUUCAGUGGCGAUGCUCCCUGAUGCACCCUACUUUAGUAUUUUACUCUGUCUAACGCCAGACGAUUUUACUCAUCAAGGGGAGAGCGCUGGCGCUUAAUGGGUUAAUAUAAGCAAAAUCUUGUUUUAUCAAAUUAUCCAUUGCUAGAUGGCAUGCAAAAUAACAACACAGCAUUGCCAAGAAUUUGUAUUCUUGUUGGAAUUUCCUAUAUUGAGCACUUACUAUAUUUCACUCUGUCUAACAAUUUGGAACUAAUUUGAUAAAGGAACAUGGCAAUAAUGCCUCAUAAAGGCCACAUGCAUGAUAUUGUUUUGGUUCAGUUUUUUAUACACUAUGCAUGGAUAGACUUUAAUUGGCAAAACUACAAUGGUGACAGUUUUGUAAAUAAGUUAAUAUUGAGGAAGAUAAUUAAUUGUAUAAUGUUUUGAU